UGGUGCCCAGGUCCGGCGCGGCCUGUUGGAGAGCUUGGCGAGGCACCGUUCUCCAUAGACUCAUUGAACGCUUUAGCUCAAACACCAUUCCUCUGACCCAGGAGUUCAUUUCAAGAUGAAAGAAGUAAGACAAUGAGAUAAAGCCCAUGGGCUUCACUGGUCUUAUAAUGUGCUCCAUUAUUCAAGAUCCAGGAUAUACGAAAAGAAAACAGAUCAGCCUCUUUCCUGAUAAGAAGAGUAACCAAGAAGGCCAUCUGCAAGAACUAAGUGGU